rnacentral:rRNA from 1 species
GACGAACGCUGGCGGCGCGCUUAACACAUGCAAGUCGAGCGAAGCGGCGGACGGGUGAGUAACACGUGAGUAACCUGCCUUAGACAUUGGGAUAGCCUCGGGAAACCGGGAUUAAUACCACAUGGUCUAGGAUGGGCUCGCGUCCCCUUAGUAGGUUGGUGAGGUCACGGCCCACCAAGGCGACGAUGGGUAGCCGGCACGUGAGGGAGGACGGCCACAUUGGAACUGAGAAGCGGUCGGAACUCUACGGGAGGCAGCAGUGGUGAAUAUUGCACAAUGGAGGGAACGCUGAUGCAGCGCCGGCGCGUGAACGAAGAAGGCGUUCGAGUCGUAAAGUUCUUUUAUAUGGGAAGCGGUACCAUAAGAAAAAGCCCCGGCUAACUACGUGCCAGCAGCCGCGGUAAUAC